UGUUAUUUUUUUACCAUAAAUUCAUGAUUAGUCAAGAAUUUAAAUAGUAACAGAUUAAAAUAAAUUUAACAUGAUUCACAGGUUUUAAGACCAACAUUUUAAGAGGUACUGUAACAAAUAUAUACAGGAGACAUUAAUGAAGAGUAUCUUCUUCUCUAUCUGCAAAGUAAUAAACCCAAGGAAUUAUGCCACUGACAUGUCAGAGACUCUGUCAUUCAGGAACAAAAUAUAAGGAACAAAAAAUCCUCCCAUUAUAUAUUUAUUUUAGCCUGAACAAAUACAAGAUAUAUAGGAAAAGAGCCAGUCCCCUUGUUCUAAGUUAGGUGAUAGUAAAGAACAGGUGUAAGUACCUUAGCAAUACAAAAACAAAUCAGAUAAAAUUCAAAGAGUAAAGCUGUAAAAGUUAGAGGACAGGCAAGAAAGAGACAAAGGAAGGAACUGACAUAUUAACUUCCUCAAUUGUUGACUUACCAUCAUCCACAUUUCAGAAGAGGAUUAACACUCUGUGCAAAAACUUAUUUAAGAUGACACAAGACAAACAAAAACAUUUACUUGUAAGUAGGAGGAAGAAAAGAAUAAUUUCUUCUUUUUUUUUUUUUUUUUUUCCACUGAAGUUCACAGGGCAGUUUACCAAGCUGUGCCCUUCUCUUUUCAGGGUAGAGUUUGGCACAGUUAAGAUGUGAGCACAGAACCUUAGAAGAGUGAAAGAAACUCGGCACGCUCUUUGCUCCCUGUAACUCUUAUGCAAUGACACCUAUUAUAGGACAAGCCUGGACAAACACUCGGGAAUGGACUUCAGAACACAACGGUGCACUUGAAGUCAAUCCAUGCAGGGGGUGAAGUAACUACCAUGGUUCUGCUGAAUGCCUCACAUUACACCAGCACGUAUGGUGGAAGCCUCUGUAUUUCGUUGUUGCUGCUGUUGUUAUUAGCAGUAAGGGAAAUCCAAAAGAAACUCCAAUUAGGCAGGGGAUCCCAGUCCAAGCUGAAACACCCAGGAGAGAGGUGAAAGGUUUCCCAGCUGUGCUAGUGAUUUGAUGAUGUAUGGCAAAAUGGUACUUUGACCCUGUUCUAAGCCUUAUCCUAACAGGAUGAACUGGAGUUUCAACUAUCCAGGCCUACUGGAAAUUGGGCCCAGCAGUUAUUUGGCAGUGGCCUUCAUGAGCAGCAAUGCCAGCUUUCCAUUGCAAUGCCCACAUUCAGAGAUUUGCAGAAUUAGAGUCCAAAUUCUGCUUGUAUGUGCAAGUCCAGAAUGCCACUGACUUCAAGGGGGUUGUAAGAUUUUAGCCAAGAGCAAAAAUUGGCCCAGGAUUUUUUCAGACUCCCUCAUGCUUCUGUUUAUAUGAUAUUACCAUCAAGCUCUAUUAGCAUGCUCCAUGAUGCAUUUUACUUUUAAAUUACAUAAAGGAUAUUUACUGUGCUGAUGCUACAUAGUUUGCAAGAAAGAUGCACAUAUGGAAAUGAAAAAACAUCAAUUACCAUCAGGAUUUCCAGCUUUCAGCAUUCAUUUUCCAAAACAACCCAGAGACUAUUUCUCAUUAAAAAAAAAAAAAAAAAAAAAAAAAAAGCAGAAAUGAAAAUCCAAUUUCUUGGCAUUUAUGUACGGCAUUCUGGACCCUUGCUCGUCAAGUCUGUUGUGAAAAUGGUUGGAAUA